GGGGAAUCUUGCGCAAUGGGCGAAAGCCUGACGCAGCCAUGCCGCGUGAAUGAUGAAGGUCUUAGGAUUGUAAAAUUCUUUCACCGGGGACGAUAAUGACGGUACCCGGAGAAGAAGCCCCGGCUAACUUCGUGCCAGCAGCCGCGGUAAUACGAAGGGGGCUAGCGUUGCUCGGAAUUACUGGGCGUAAAGGGAGCGUAGGCGGACAGUUAAGUCAGAGGUGAAAGCCCAGGGCUCAACCUUGGAAUUGCCUUUGAUACUGGCUGUCUUGAGUAUGGGAGAGGUGUGUGGAACUCCGAGUGUAGAGGUGAAAUUCGUAGAUAUUCGGAAGAACACCAGUGGCGAAGGCGACACACUGGCCCAUUACUGACGCUGAGGCUCGAAAGCGUGGGGAGCAAAC
rnacentral:rRNA from 1 species